GAUGAAAGAGCAGAAAAAUUAAUGAUAAGAGCAGCUUGUAGCUUUCUGAUAGACAAUUUUGGAAGUUACCCACCUCCUAAGAGACAGUUGGAAAUGGCAAUAGACAUUGUCGAAACUUUCCCUCACAGAGCUUGUCAAUCAGGCAAAGGCUAUGAAUUAUAUUAUUGUCCUGGGGCAGGGAAAGGCUUCAUUACUAACCGGAUGAGAGAAAUUUACAGACGAUAUGAUAAAAGCCAGAAAAAAUACAAAGCCAGAACACUUGUUAUUACAGAAGAUCAAGAAGAUGACAUUAAUGAUGAUGAGGUACAACGUUUAAAAGUUAAAGCAAGUCAUACCGUUUCAACAGAAAGAAAUUUCAAGGAAAUCGCUGAUGCCAUGGCAGCGACGUUUAAUAACCGACAGAAAUGGAUUAAGAAAGGCUCUCCGUCUCUGAGAGAGAUUCUUUCCGAUUAUCCCAGAUAUGUUGAUACACCAGAUUUGAUUUCAAUAGAUUUUAAAAGAUUGUAUCCUGAUUGCUGUCAGACUUCUGUAGAAAUUGAAAAUGAAUGGGCCAAAAAAAUAAUAACAUAUUGCCAAAUAAAUGGACGCUGCCCUGAUGUAGUAGGCAAUCUUGAUUUGGAGACACAAUAUGAUCCAAACCAAGCAACACUGAAAAUGAUACGAUGUAUAGUAACUCUAUUACCAACUAUGGGACGAUACAGAGUGUCAACAUCAGAUGCAAUGAAAUGCAUUAUUGAAGAAGUGCCGAUAGGAACAUCAUUAGAAGAAUAUUUAAGUUCAGAUAACAAUCAGCGAACCCAGCCAUAUAUACUUAAUAUUAAACCUUCAAACUUUUUUAUAAUUAUGGAAAAAAAUGCUGUCAUUGUGA